rnacentral:rRNA from 1 species
UGAGGAAUAUUGGUCAAUGGGCGGAAGCCUGAACCAGCCAUGCCGCGUGCAGGAAGGAGGCCCUACGGGUUGUAAACUGCUUUUACCCGGGAAGAAACCGCCCCCUGUGGGGGGCGUUGCCGGUACCGGGGGAAAAAGGAUCGGCUAACUCCGUGCCAGCAGCCGCGGUAAUACGGAGGAUCCGGGCGUUAUCCGGACUUACUGGGUUUAUAGGGUGCGUAGGCGGGGCUUUAAGCCGGCGGUGAAAUGCAGCGGCUCAACCGCUGGAAUGCCGUUGGGGCGGGGGCACUUGGAUACGGUCGGGGCGGGUGGAACUCGUGGUGUAGCGGUGAAAUGCAUAGAUAUCACGAGGAACGCCGGUAGCGAAGGCAGCUCGCCGGGCCGGUAUUGACGCUGAGGCACGAAAGCGUGGGGAUCGA